GACGAACGCUGGCGGCGUGCUUAACACAUGCAAGUCGAGCGGUAAGGCCCUUUCGGGGGUACACGAGCGGCGAACGGGUGAGUAACACGUGGGUGACCUGCCCUCAGCUCUGGGAUAGGCCCGGGAAACUGGGUCUAAUACCGGAUAUGACUCCAUGACGCAUGUUGUGGGGUGGAAAGCCUUGUGCGGCUGAGGAUGGGCCCGCGGCCUAUCAGCUUGUUGGUGGGGUGANGGCCUACCAAGGCGACGACGGGUAGCCGGCCUGAGAGGGCGACCGGCCACACUGGGACUGAGACACGGCCCAGACUCCUACGGGAGGCAGCAGUGGGGAAUCUUGCGCAAUGGGCGAAAGCCUGACGCAGCGACGCCGCGUGAGGGAUGACGGCC
rnacentral:rRNA from 1 species